rnacentral:rRNA from 1 species
AUUGAACGCUGGCGGCAGGCCUAACACAUGCAAGUCGAGCGGAUGAAGGGAGCUUGCUCUCUGAUUUAGCGGCGGACGGGUGAGUAAUGCCUAGGAAUCUGCCUGGUAGUGGGGGAUAACGUUCCGAAAGGAACGCUAAUACCGCAUACGUCCUACGGGAGAAAGCGGGGGAUCUUCGGACCUCGCGCUAUCAGAUGAGCCUAGGUCGGAUUAGCUAGUUGGUGAGGGAAAGGCUCACCAAGGCGACGAUCGGUAACUGGUCUGAGAGGAUGAUAAGUCACAAUGGAACUGAGACACGGUCCAGACUCCUACGGGAGGCAGCAGUGGGGAAUAUUGUACAAUGGGCGAAAGCCUGAUCCAGCCAUGCCGCGUGUGUGAAGAAGGUCUUCGGAUUGUAAAGCACUUUAAGUUGGGAGGAAGGGUUGUAGAUUAAUACUCUGCAAUUUUGACGGUACCGACAGAAUAAGCACCGGCUAACUUCGUGCCAGCAGCCGCCGUAACAC